GGUUUGAUUCUGGCUCAGAUUGAACGCUGGCGGGAUGCUUUACAUGGAAGUCGGGCAGCGCUGGACUUCCCGGUCUGGUGGCGAGUGGCGAACAGGUGAGUAAUGUAUCGGAACGUGCCUAGUAGCGGGGGAUAACUACGCGAAAGCGUAGCUAUGCACAUACGCCCUUCGAAACGGGGGACCUUCGGGCCUCGCACUAUUAGAACCAGCCGAUAUCGGAUUAGCUAGUUGGUGGAGUAACGGCUCCGCAAGGCGACGAUCCAUCGCUGGUUUGAGAGGACGACCAACCACACUGGGACGGCUGAGACACGGCCCAGACUCCUACGGGAGGCAGCAGUGGGGAAUUUUGGACAAUGAGGAAACCCUGAUCCAGCCAUCCCGCGUGUGCGAUGAAGGCCUUCCGGGUUGUAAAGCACUUUUUGGCAGGAAAGAAACGGCACGGGAUAAUACCCCGUGCAACUGACGGUACCUGCAGAAUAAGCACCGGCUAACUACGUGCCAGCAGCCGCGAGUAAUACGUAAGGGUGCAAGCGUUAAUCCGGAAUUACUGGGCGUAAAGCGUGCGCAGGCGGUUCGGAAAGAAAAGAUGUUAAAUCCGAACGCUUUGGAGCUGCAUUUUUAACUACCGAGCUAGAGUGGCCAGAGGGAGGUGGAAUUCCGCGUGUAGCAGUGAAAUGCGUAGAUAUGCGGAGGAACACCGAUGGCGAAGGCAGCCUCCUGGGAUAACACUGACGCUCAUGCACGAAAGCGUGGGAGCAAAGCAGGAUUAGAUACCCUGGUAGUCCACGCCCUAAACGAUGUCAACUAGCUGUUGGGACCUUCGGGCCUUAGUAGCGCAGCUAACGCGUGAAGUUGACCGCCUGGAAUUACGGUCGCAAAGAUUAAAACUCAAAGGAAUUGACGGACCCGCACACAAGCAGUGGUUGAUGUGGAUUAAUUCGAUGCAACGCGAAAAACCUUACCUACCCUUGACAUGUCUGGAAUCCCGAAGAGAUUUGGGAGUGCUCGCAAGAGAACCGGAACACAGGUGCUGCAUGGCUGUCGUCAACUCGUGUCGUGAGAUGUUGGGUUAAGUCCCGCAACGAGCGCAACCCUUGUCAUUAGUUAUGAAAGAACCUCUAAUGAGACUGCCGGUGAUGAGCCGGAGGAAGGUGGGGAUGACGUCAAAGUCUCGUGGCCCUUAUGGUGGGGCUUCACGUCAUACAAUGGUCGGGACCAGAGGUCGCCAACCGCGAGGGAGCCAAUCCCAGAAACCCGAUCAUAAGUCCGGAUCGCAGUCUGCAACUCGACUGCGUGAAGUCGGAAUCGCUAGUAAUCGCGGAUCAGCAUGUCGCAGUGAAUACGUUCAGCGGGUCUUGUACCACACCACUUAAUCCUGCAUGGGAGUGGGUUUUUACCAGAAGUAGUUAGCUAGCCGUAGGAGGGCGAUUACCACGGUAGGAUUUAUGACUGGGGUGAAGUCGUAACAAAU
rnacentral:rRNA from 1 species